UUCCUGGAGUGUUCGCCAGUCGGUGUCGUCCUUGAGCCGUUAUAUAAAAACCAGGGGGUUUGGCGCUUGGAGUCGUGUGCAAGCCCGAGCUAGCUAAUCGGGUAGCCUUAGCUCCCUCACAAACCUCCGCCUUGAACCACGACGGUUCAGGGCUAUCCGCGAGCGGCAUUCCGGUG
rnacentral:other from 1 species